rnacentral:misc_RNA from 1 species
UGUGGGAGCGAGCUUGCUCGCGAUGGCGUUGUGUCAGUCACAUCGAUGUUGAAUGUGGCGCCGUCAUCGCGAGCGAGCUCGCUCCCACA